UCCCCGUUACCGGGGCAGUCUGGCUAGAAAAAUACAACUAACCAUAAGGGUUGCGCUCGUUGAUGGACUUAACCAAACAUCUCACGACACGAGCUGACGACGGCCAUGCAUCACCUGUCACUGAGUUCCGGGUUACAACACACAAAAAAAUAAUUUAUGUGCUCUAACCCGGCACUCACUGCUUUCGCAGUAAUUCUCAGGAUGUCAAGUCUGGGUAAGGUUCUUCGCUUACCAUCGAAUUAAACAACACGCUCCACCGCUUGUGCGGGUCCCCGUCAAUUCCUUUGAGUUUUAGUCUUGCGACCGUACUCCCCAGGCGGGAUGCUUAACGCGUUAGCUUCGCUACAUACCGGGUCGAUACGGCAUACAGCUAGCAUCCAUAGUUUACGGCGUGGACUAC
rnacentral:misc_RNA from 1 species